AGACAUGUGCUAUUCCGAUGUAUAUAUUAUGUGGUCGUUAUCGACCAGACUAUUAGAUAUUGUCACACAUCGCUGGUCACAAUGCACUUUGCAUGGUUUUAGCUUUUGAAUGAUGCCACCCUGCUGGCUAGGCGAGCAGGCCAACAUUCCCCUUGAUUGGAAGACUAUUCUGUCACGGGGUUAU